rnacentral:rRNA from 1 species
UUAAAUUGAAGAGUUUGAUCAUGGCUCAGAUUGAACGCUGGCGGCAGGCCUAACACAUGCAAGUCGAACGGUAACAGGAAGCAGCUUGCUGCUUUGCUGACGAGUGGCGGACGGGUGAGUAAUGUCUGGGAAACUGCCCGAUGGAGGGGGAUAACUACUGGAAACGGUAGCUAAUACCGCAUAACGUCGCAAGACCAAAGAGGGGGACCUUAGGGCCUCUUGCCAUCGGAUGUGCCCAGAUGGGAUUAGCUAGUAGGUGGGGUAACGGCUCACCUAGGCGACGAUCCCUAGCUGGUCUGAGAGGAUGA